rnacentral:rRNA from 1 species
UACGGAGGGUGCGAGCGUUUGUCCGGAAUCAUUGGGCGUAAAGGGCGCGUAGGUGGCCCCUCAAGCGUGCGGUGAAAGUCAGGGGCUCAACCCCUGAUCGGCCGUGCGAACUGGGGAGCUUGAGCACUGUAGAGGCAGGCGGAAUUCCGGGUGUAGCGGUAGAAUGCGUAGAGAUCCGGAAGAACACCGGUGGCGAAGGCGGCCUGCUGGGCAGUUUUGCUGACACUGAGGCGCGAAAAGCGUGGGGGAGCAAACAGGG